UUGGGGGUGGGAGGGGUAAGGGGAGUUGCCAAGUCUCUGACUCUAUUUACAUCUCAGGAAUUGUACCUGUGUAGGGUCCCUCAGUUUUGCAGCCAAUGCCGAGGCAGGUGCAGUCCCUGCCUGCUGUGUGUUGCUGGGACACUUUGCCACAGGUGUCACCUUCACUCUCUCCACUCACCUAAUGCUGACAGUGGUGCCCGUGGACCAGGUCUUCUCCCCACACCUCCUGAAAUACCCAUUUGUUGAUGGAACCUUCCUUUAUAGCACAAGGAAUUUCCCCUCCAAGGGCCUGUGAAUGACACCAGGAGCAGCCUACUGUAUAUGAUAAUUGUUUUCCAGAUUGAAAUACAAUCAAAGUAACUACUGCCCAGGGGGUGGUAUCAGACAUGCAUGGGGAGAAGCCAUGGGGUAGCACCAAUGGGAACUGGAAUUCCAGAGCCCCUUAUGUUCCAGAAGAAUUCCUCGGACUCCAUGGAAGGCUAUCAUUCCGCCGAGCAGUUCACUCCUGCUGCUUCCAUUGGAGGGACGUGUCUCAGUGCAAGAGGCAAAGAAGUCAAGUGGACCGGGAAGCAUGUUGACCAGCAUUGGUCACCUCACCUGUCCAGGUGGGCAUUCCUUCCGCAGCUGCCCGCAUGGCUUCUCCCUGUGCAGUGUGGAUGCCCAGGCAGCGUUCCAGUGUUCCCUGAGGCCACUGGCUCAGGAACGGUGCCCCACAAUCCAUCACCAAGCAGGCAGGACAAAGGUCUGCUUGCAUCCUAACGUGGCAUACUUUCAGAUUUUGGGAGCACUUUUCCACGGAAAAGACCGAAAAUGGCCUUUUGAACCUCUAGGAGAGAAAGAGAGAGAACGAGUCAGGCUGAAAGCAGCCCGCCUGAAUCCCUGUGCCUACACACGGGGUGGGCUUCUGGCGGAAGACUGUGGGAACGGAGACUAAAUAAAUACUAAGUGCCCUCGGUGCUUCUCAAACGCAGGACUGGCAACAAUACAAAAUGCAAGCUGAAAAGACAAACAGGUAGCCCUGGCAGCUGGGCACUGCCCCCGUGUCUGAAUGAUUUUGUGGCUGAAUCAGGCACCUGGCUGUGACACUGCAGUUUGUUCCUCCUCAGCUAGGGUGACGUACUUGCCAGAAUGUCGCCUUAGUGCCUGGGCUUCUUCAGAAACAGAGCCUGUUUUUCCAGAUGUCUUGGGAAGAGAUCAUUCUUACUUCUGUUAUGCAGAUGAAGAAGCAGUGCCACAGAACUGAAGAUCAGCAGAGCAGGGACCUAAUAAUCCUAAGAUAACGACAAUGGCAAUGAUGACUAUCAGGAGCUAACCUGGGAGCUAACCUUCACUGAGGGCUUCCCUGCACCCGAUAUUCUAUUAAGUAGCCCAGUGUAGAGCUACUCAUUCUAACCUUAUUAACUCUACUCACAACACCUUAUUUGGUAGGACUGUUAUGAUCCCUAUUUUAUGAAUGAGAUCAUCAUGUUUCAGAGAUAUGCAAGGUCAUCAAACAAGUGGGAAUCAGAACAGCACUCAAAUCCAUCUUUUUACUCCAUUUUCAUAACAAACCAUAGUCUAAUUGUCUUUCUGCUGUCUCAGGUGAUAGAUGACAUUAGAGAAGAAAGGUUCCCUUUGUAGAAAAUAACAUUAUCAGGAAGAUUUUUAGAGGACAAAACAGUAAGAUCAUUCAGCAAAUACUUCGGGUGUCUAUUGAGAUUAGGUGCUGCAUUGGACAUUGGGAAGCCCUGGGAAUCACCCAGGUGAGAGGUCUCAGUAGCCAGGGGUAUCAGAUACUUUCUUUCUUUCUUUUUUUUUUUUAAUUUUUUAUUGCAUUUUAGGUUUGGGGGUACAUGUGCAGAACAUGCAAGACAGUUGCAUAGGUACACACAUGGCAGUGAGUUUUGCUUCCUUUCUCCCCUUCACCCACAUUUGGCAUUUCUCCCCAGGCUAUCCCUCCCCACCUCCCCCUCCUGCUGGCCCUCCCCUUUUCCCCCCAAUAGACCCCAGUGUUUAGUACUCCCCUUUCUGUGUCCAUGUGUUCUCAUUUUUCAUCACCCGCCUAUGAGUGAGAAUAUGUGGUAUUUCAUUUUCUGUUCUUGUGUCAGUUUGCUGAGGAUGAUGUUCUCCAGAUUCAUCCAUGUCCCCACAAACGACACAAACUCAUCAUUUCUGAUUGCUGCAUAAUAUUCCAUGGUGUAUAUGUGCCACAUUUUUCCAAUCCAGUCUAUCAUCGAUGGGCAUUUGGGUUGAUUACAGGUCUUUGCUAUUGUAAACAGUGCUGCAAUGAACAUUCGUGUACAUGUGUCCUUAUAGUAGAACGAUUUAUAGUCUUUUGGAUAUAUACCCAGUAAUGGGAUUGCUGGGUCAAAUGGAAUUUCUAUUUCUAAGGCCUUGAGGAAUCGCCACACUGUCUUCCACAAUGGUUGAACUAAUUUACACUCCCACCAACAGUGUAAAAGUGUUCCUUUUUCUCCACAUCCUCUCCAGCAUCUGUUGUCUCCAGAUACUUUCUUUUGUUCCUCAACUAUUUCCGGCCUUCAGCUGCUUGGUCUGUACAAGCCACUGCUCUGACCAGCUCUGCAUGGAGUACAAUGAAUCACACAGGCACAAAAAAAGAUUCAUCCAGAAUAUAUACCGAAUACAUACAAAGAAAAAAAAAAAAAGACUAAAAUAGGCUGGGCACGGUGGUUCAUGCCUGAAAUUCCAGCACUUUGGGAGGCUGAGGUGGGCAGAUCACCUGAGGUCAGGAGUUUAAGACUAGCGUGGCCCACAUGGUGAAACAUCAUCUCCACUAAAAAUAUGAAAAUUAGCUGGGCCUUGUGGUGAGUGCCUGUAAUCCCAGCUACUUGGGAGGCUGAGGCAGGAGAAUUGCUUGAACCUGGGAGGCAGAUGUACAGUGAGAUCACGCCACUGCACUUCAGCCUGGGCAAUAAAAGCAAGACUCUGUCUCAAUAAAUAAAUAAAUAAUCAGAUUUCAAAAUGGGCAAAAUAUUUGAGAGGUCAUUAAGCAAACGAGGAAAUCCAAAUGUUCAAUGAACUUAUAUAAAGGUGCUCAGCUUCGUUAGUUAUUACGGAAAUUCUCACUAAAACCAAAAUGCAGUGCUCCUACAUACCCAUCAAAAUGGCUGCAACGAAAAGGGUGGAAGGGGUUUGGAGCUACAGAGACUUUCAUACACUGCUAACAGAAGAAUAAAUUCACAGCAUCACUUUGGAAAAUUGUCUUGCUGUGGCCAUGAAAAACAGGUGUGCCUUAUGAUUCAGCAAUUCUGCUCCUGUGUGUAUCCCGACAGUAACACACGGAUAUGUUCACCAAGAGGCAUGCUCAUCGUGACACUAUUUGUAAUAGUCCCAAACUGGAGGCUUGACAAAGCCUGUGAAGAGUAUAAUAGAUAACUAAAAUAUGCUAGAGUCAUACAAUUGAAUAUCACACAACAAUGAAAAGGAACAGAUGAUCAUUAUACACACACUAUGGAGAAACUCACAAACACAAUGUUGACCAAAAGAAACCAUCAAUAGAAGCCAUUCAUUCCAGCACCGUAAAGUUUUAAACUAUGUUUAAAAAUUAAUGAAUGUUAUUAGAAGUCAGGAUAGUGGGUCUUCUGGGCUGGGGAGAAGCAGGGAGUGCCUGAAAAAGGGGCUGAGUGGGGCUUCUGGGGUGGUGGCAAUGCUUUGUUCCUUGAUCUAAGUGCUGAGUACCUGGGUGUAUUUGUCUGUUUUCACACUGUUGGUAAAGGCACACCUGAGACUGGGCAAUUUACAAAAGAAAAGAGACUUGAUCAACUUACAGUUACACAUGGCUGGGGAGGCCUCACAGUCAUGGGGGAAGCUGAAAGGCACAUCUCACAUGGUGGCAGACAAGAGAAGAGAGUUUGUGCAGGGAAACUCCCCUUUUUAAAACCAUCAGAUAUUGUGAGAUUUAUUUGCUAUCACAAGAACAGCACGGGAAAGACCUGCCUCCGUGAUUCAGUUACCUCCCUCUGGGUCCCUCCAACAACACAUGGAAAUUCAAGAUGAGAUUAGAAAAUAUUCUUUAAUCAAUAAAAUGCUAACGUGACUUUA